rnacentral:rRNA from 1 species
AUGGCACCGAAGAAGGAGAAGGCCCCGGCGGCGUCGUCCAAGCCGGCCAAGUCCGGCGGCGGCAAGCAGAAGAAGAAGAAGUGGAGCAAGGGCAAGCAAAAGGAGAAGGUGAACAACGCGGUGCUGUUCGACCAGGCCACCUACGACAAGCUGCUCACCGAGAUCAACGGGUCUCUGGCUCGCAGGGCUAUCAAGGACCUGAUGGAGAGGGGGCUCAUCAGGAUGGUCUCAAUCCACUCCAGCCAGCAGAUCUUCACCAGGGCGACAAACACCUGA